GUCAGUCCAUUGCCUGUGUGGUGGCAGCUUCCCAGGAAGGAAGAAGCGUUGUCUGCAGAUCGCCUAUCGGUCGGCUUUCCUGUGUCGGAGCGGUGGUUUUCCGGGGAUGGCUGCCACCCCCGUGAUUCCCAGCUGCCUGGAAACUUGGACCCUGCUCCCACAGAGAUCUAGUGCUUUCCAUAACAUGAUGCGCAGCUGUUACCUCUUCUCUACUCUGAACUGCCUGGCUUCCAGAUGUGCAGACCAAAGCGAGAGAUUUGACAUGGACUCGUCCUAGACCAGUGGUUCUCAGCUGUUCUUAUGAGCAAUCCUUUAACACAGUCCCUCCUGUUGUAGUAACCCUCAACCAUAAAAUAAUUCCCAUCGCUACUU